rnacentral:rRNA from 1 species
UACGGAGGGUGCGAGCGUUGUCCGGAAUCAUUGGGCGUAAAGAGCGCGUAGGCGGCCCUGUAAGUCCGCUGUGAAAGUCAAGGGCUCAACCCUUGGAUGCCGGUGGAUACUGCAGGGCUAGAGUCCGGAAGAGGCGAGUGGAAUUCCUGGUGUAGCGGUGAAAUGCGCAGAUAUCAGGAGGAACACCGAUGGCGAAGGCAGCUCGCUGGGACGGUACUGACGCUGAGGCGCGAAAGUGUGGGGAGCAAACAGG